GGGAUUGCCCUAGUAACGGCGAGUGAAGCGGCAACAGCUCAAAUUUGAAAUCUGGCUCUUUUAGGGUCCGAGUUGUAAUUUGCAGAGGGCGCUUUGGUGUUGGCAGCGGUCCAAGUUCCUUGGAACAGGACGUCACAGAGGGUGAGAAUCCCGUACGUGGUCGCUAGCCUUCGCCGUGUAAAGCCCCUUCGACGAGUCGAGUUGUUUGGGAAUGCAGCUCUAAAUGGGAGGUAAAUUUCUUCUAAAGCUAAAUACUGGCCAGAGACCGAUAGCGCACAAGUAGAGUGAUCGAAAGAUGAAAAGCACUUUGGAAAGAGAGUCAAAUAGCACGUGAAAUUGUUGAAAGGGAAGCGCUUGCAGCCAGACUUGCCUGUAGUUGCUUAUCCGGACUCUUGUCCGGUGCACUCUUCUGCGGGCAGGCCAGCAUCAGUUUGGGCGGUUGGAUAAAGGUCUCUAUCACGUACCUCUCUUCGGGGAGGCCUUAUAGGGGAGGCGACAUGCAACCAGCCUGGACUGAGGUCCGCGCAUCUGCUAGGAUGCUGGCGUAAUGGCUGUAAGCGGCCCGUCUUGAAACACGGACCAAGGAGUCUAACAUCUAUGCGAGUGUUUGGGUGUCAAGCCCAGACGCGUAAUGAAAGUGAACGGAGGUGGGAACCCUUUGGGUGCACCAUCGACCGAUCCUGAUGUCUUCGGAUGGAUUUGAGUAAGAGCAUGGCUGUUGGGACCCGAAAGAUGGUGAACUAUGCUUGAAUAGGGUGAAGCCAGAGGAAACUCUGGUGGAGGCUCGCAGCGGUUCUGACGUGCAAAUCGAUCGUCAAAUUUGGGCAUAGGGGCG
rnacentral:rRNA from 1 species